rnacentral:rRNA from 1 species
AUUGAACGCUGGCGGCAGGCUUAACACAUGCAAGUCGAGCGGAGAUGAGGUGCUUGCAUCUUAUCUUAGCGGCGGACGGGUGAGUAAUGCUUAGGAAUCUGCCUAUUAGUGGGGGACAACAUUCCGAAAGGAAUGCUAAUACCGCAUACGUCCUACGGGAGAAAGCAGGGGAUCUUCGGACCUUGCGCUAAUAGAUGAGCCUAAGUCGGAUUAGCUAGUUGGUGGGGUAAAGGCCUACCAAGGCGACGAUCUGUAGCGGGUCUGAGAGGAUGAUCCGCCACACUGGGACUGAGACACGGCCCAGACUCCUACGGGAGGCAGCAGGGGGGAAUAUUGGACAAUGGGGGGAACCCUGAUCCAGCCAUGCCGCGUGUGUGAAGAAGGCCUUAUGGUUGUAAAGCACUUUAAGCGAGGAGGAGGCUACUGAGACUAAUACUCUUGGAUAGUGGACGUUACUCGCAGAAUAAGCACCGGCUAACUCUGUGCCAGCAGCCGCCGCAGUAA